AUUGAACGCUGGCGGCAGGCCUAACACAUGCAAGUCGAGCGGUAGAGAGAAGCUUGCUUCUCUUGAGAGCGGCGGACGGGUGAGUAAUGUCUAGGAAUCUGCCUGGUAGUGGGGGAUAACGUUCGGAAACGGACGCUAAUACCGCAUACGUCCUACGGGAGAAAGCAGGGGACCUUCGGGCCUUGCGCUAUCAGAUGAGCCUAGGUCGGAUUAGCUAGUUGGUGAGGUAAUGGCUCACCAAGGCGACGAUCCGUAACUGGUCUGAGAGGAUGAUCAGUCACACUGGAACUGAGACACGGUCCAGACUCCUACGGGAGGCAGCAGUGGGGAAUAUUGGACAAUGGGCGAAAGCCUGAUCCAGCCAUGCCGCGUGUGUGAAGAAGGUCUUCGGAUUGUAAAGCACUUUAAGUUGGGAGGAAGGGCAUUAACCUAAUACGUUAGUGUUUUGACGUUACCGACAGAAUAAGCACCGGCUAACUCUGUGC
rnacentral:rRNA from 1 species